rnacentral:rRNA from 1 species
UACGUAGGGUGCAAGCGUUGUCCGGAAUUACUGGGCGUAAAGGGCGCGUAGGCGGACAGUUUAGUCAGAGGUGAAAGCCCAGGGCUCAACCUUGGAAUUGCCUUUGAUACUGGCUGUCUUGAGUUCGGGAGAGGUGAGUGGAACUGCGAGUGUAGAGGUGAAAUUCGUAGAUAUUCGCAAGAACACCAGUGGCGAAGGCGGCUCACUGGCCCGAUACUGACGCUGAGGCACGAAAGCGUGGGGAGCAAACAGGG